rnacentral:rRNA from 1 species
GACGAACGCUGGCGGCGUGCUUAACACAUGCAAGUCGAACGGCAAGGCCCUGCUUGCAGGGUCCUCGAGUGGCGAACGGGUGAGUAACACGUGGGUGAUCUGCCCUGCACCUCGGGAUAAGCCUGGGAAACUGGGUAUAAUACCGGAUAGGAGCCAUUUCUAGUGUGAUGGUUGGAACGUUUUUUCGGUGUAGGAUGAGCUCGCGGCCUAUCAGAUUGUUGGUGGGGUAAUGGCCUACCAAGGCGGCGGCGAGUAGCCGGCCUGAGAGGGUGGACGGGAACAGUGGGACUGGGAUACGGCCCAGACUCCUACGGGUGGCAGCAGUGGGGAAGAUGGCACAAUGGGCGCAAGCCUGAUGCAGCGACGCCGCGUGGGGGAUGACGGCCUUCGGGUUGUAAACGCCUAUCGCUAGGGACGAAGCUUUUUGUGACGGUACCUAGAUAAGAAGCACCGGCUAACUACGUG